AUUGAACGCUGGCGGCAGGCCUAACACAUGCAAGUCGAACGAGUGGCGGACGGGUGAGUCAUGUCUGGGAAACUGCCUGAUGGAGGGGGAUAACUACUGGAAACGGUAGCUAAUACCGCAUACCAUCGGAUGUGCCCCGAUGGGAUUAGCUAGUAGGUGGGGUAACGGCUCACCUAGGCGACGAUCCCUAGCUGGUCUGAGAGGAUGACCAGACAAACUGGAACUGAGACACGGUCCAGACUCCGAGGGUAGGCAGCAGUGGGGAAUAGUGCACAAUGGGCGCAAGCCUGAUGAAGCCAGGCCGCGUGUAUGAAGAAGGCCGUCGGGUGGUAAAGUACUUUCAGCGGGGAGGCGUUACCCGCAGAAGAAGCACCGGCUAACUCCGUGCCAGCAGCCGCGGUAAUAC
rnacentral:rRNA from 1 species